rnacentral:lncRNA from 1 species
UACAAAGUCAUUCGUAUUAAAAAUAUAUUAAUACACGGCUUGGUCAGUCGCGACAUUCCAAGGUAUGUUAUCUCUGGAUAACAGCCGGUAAAAGCUAAUAACACAGGCUCAUCCGGGUAACAGCAGUCGGCGCUGUACUCUAGCUUGAACUAUUUUUUUUCUUGGUGGAAGCUUUGCGUUUGUUUAGCUAAUAAAAUAUUGAAACUCAAUUCAAAAUGGUGUACAAUUGUUUAAUUAUGUCAUCCUGGUAUCACGGACUUGUUUCAUACAAACGCAGCUGCUGCCAUUUUGCUACGAUUGUUUUGUACGCUCUAAUGGAUUAUAAGAUAACUAACAAACUGGUUCCCAUUGUGUCCGAAUGCAUCGUUGUCCCGCCUUCCAAACUGAAAGUCCAAAAGAGUGAACUCCAAAAGCAGAUGACAUCAACCCCUCUCCUGAUCGACAGUGCAAGCAAGGUAAAGGGUCACAUGGCAGCAUCACUGAGUCUAUUGUGCUGCAGUGGGAAAGCCACACGGACUGUAAUGAGCUGGAGGGCUUGGCUGUAAUCUGCCAACACUGCUGCAAUAUAAAUCACAACAUAAAAACACUAUAAUAGCACAUUGUUCAAAGCCAGUAAAAGCUUGGGUCCAAGGCACUAUUUUCACACGUUUGGAAUGAAAGUGCAUUUUUGGCGCAUUGUGCUCGGCUUGUAAAAAACGCUCCUUUCACGAGUCAGGUGAGUUUACGCGGCAAAGCACGCUUUCAAGUCGCAAAGGCAUAGCGAGUCUUUCCUGCAUAGUAGCGAGUGCUUUAUGACCUGUUGAUACUCGCAUAUCUUUUUUUUCCACCGCCACGGUUCCUGGAAGAAGCUCGGACAUUCCUGGUCUUCUUCUCACCGAGCACCCUUCUCUGCUUCCAAGUCACCAAGCUUCCUGGGCCCUCUCCAUUUCACCCAGGAUCACUCUGAGCCCCCUGGAAUGUGGGAUUAAUGGUCCUGUGCAUCGUGCAGGCCGUUUGGGAUAUCCAAGACCUUUCCAACUCCAAAGCACGUUCUCUUAUCAAUAACACCCGAUCAUCAUGAUGUCAGUGGUCAGGGGCACAUUUGGAAGUAGAUUAUAGAAAUAGCUGAUUAAAAAUUCA